ensembl:lncRNA LOC103693122 uncharacterized LOC103693122
CCACAACAAAGGGCAAAGCACCGCCCCGCCUUAGGCGCAGGCGUAGCAAGGGCAAGCUAUCAUCUUGGGAAGAGGGGCGGGAGCCCGGGGGAAAGCCAGGAAGGAGGUCUGGAUGCCAGGGACUCAGACUUUGUAGCUCAGACUAGCUUCAAUCAAACUCGCUGUAAAAUGACUGCCUUUACUUCCUACCUUUCCACCAAGUGCUGGGAAUAUGAGUGUGCCUUGCCACACUGGGCACUUGCUGCUCUUUGUGUAUGGCCCGAAGAGUUAUGUCAUUAAACAAAACAAAAUCUGAAAUAGAAGAAUUACUAUUCACUAUUAGUACCAUUUCCAGUAUGAAUCUAAUCCCAC